rnacentral:sRNA from 1 species
UCUCUUCUCUCUCUCUCUCUCUCAAAUAAAUAAAGAAAGAAGCAGUCCACUAGGUCAAAGAGGAUGACCUUCUCUGAAUAAAGGAGGACUGGUCAUUAGUCAAGGGAAUAUGAGUAGCUGUGGUCAUCUGCUAGAACCUCCAAACAAGCUCUCAAAUAAAUAAAGAAAUAAAUAAGACC